rnacentral:misc_RNA from 1 species
GAAAUGCGAUACUUGGUGUGAAUUGCAGAAUCCCAUGAACAAUCGAGUAUUUGAACGCAAGUUGCGCUCGAAGCCACUAGGCUGAGGGCACGUCUGCCUGGGUGUCACAUAUCGUGUUGCCAACGACCACUCACUCCUAGAGGAGAUGUGCUGGUUUGGGGUCGUAAAUUGGCCUCCCGUGCCUUGUCGUGCGGCUGGCACAAAAGCGAGUCUCCGACAAUGGACGUCGCGACAUCGGUGGUUGUAAAAAGACCUUGUCGCGUGAAUCCCUAUCACCUUAGAGAGCUCUAGGAUCCUUAGGCGCCACACAUUGUGUGCGCUUUGAAUGUGACCCCAGGUCAGGCGGGACUACCUGCUGAGUUUAA